UGCCUCCCAGAACUACUCUACUAAGUUAAUAUGCUUAUUAUAUUAUAUAAUAAGCAUAUUAACUUUGGGGACUUAAGAUUUUUGGAAGUUCAGAAGUCCAAAUCCACCUUUCUUAUGCUUUGGAGAACACAAGGAAGUUGGUGGAAGAACAUAGAAUGCGUAGAUUCAAUUUCUUCCCCUCUUUAAAAUAUCAGGGCAUGUGGGGGUGCAAGGAAGCUGCCAUUUAAACCAAUCCCACAAAUUGCUGCUUGAAUUUUUUCUUUAAAGUGCAAAGGCCUUAGCAGACUUAUUUUCCUAGUCAUAGACCUUACUAUGGAAGGGAAACCCCUUUGGUGAUCAACGGUGGAUGAUGAGCAUUUAGAAACUGGGCAAUGAAAUACAGAGGAAUGUCAGUCAUGGAAAUGAAGGCAUAGAAAUAGAAGCACUGAGCAGACAAACACCUCUUCUUAUGAACAGAAAUACUGAAAAUUAAUAUUUCCCUAACAGUAAAUAAUUUGGCCGGGGGAGGCUGUUCCCGCUCCGAAUAUUUUUCAGCUCUAAUUUUGUCUGAGCAUGGCUACAAAACCAGGGUUGCUGGGGGUGGGGGAACGGGAUAUCUUCCUUACCCAUGGACACAAAUGGCAAGGGUGGGUCCCUGUCUUCAUGUUAUUUAUUCCAUUUUGUCUGUACUAUGUCCCUUCUUGAAGUGACCCGGCUGUCCAAGACGUCAGAGGCAGAGACCGAGGUGAUUCAGGUGCGGAUUCUCCUUUUGACCGAAGUUCUCCAGCAGCUCCAAAUUGGCAAAGCCCUUAGGUGCAGUGUGUGCCAAAUCCACUGGCUGCAGCACGGAGACAACUGUUACCUCUUUAAAAGCAGGCAGAUGAGCUGGAUAUCGACCAUGGGCUUCUGUAAAGACGAGUCCUCCUCCCUGCUUGUUAUCAAAAGCACAGAAGAGAUGGUACGACUGGGUCAUGGCUGGCUCGCAGCACCCGGGUGGAUGGGAGAGUCUUGAUCAUGUCAGAGGGAUCCCACCAUAACUUGUAAUAUAGGUCCUGGGAGCAGCACCAAUAAAGUAUGCAUUAUCCACCA
rnacentral:lncRNA from 1 species